rnacentral:rRNA from 1 species
UACAGAGGGUGCGAGCGUUGUUCGGAAUUAUUGGGCGUAAAGAGCUCGUAGGUGGCUUGUCACGUCGGGUGUGAAAGCUUGGGGCUUAACUCCAGGUCUGCAUUCGAUACGGGCUGGCUAGAGGUAGGUAGGGGAGAACGGAAUUCCUGGUGUAGCGGUGAAAUGCGCAGAUAUCAGGAGGAACACCGGUGGCGAAGGCGGUUCUCUGGACAGUUCCUGACACUGAGGCACGAAGGCCAGGGGAGCAAACGGG